UACGGAGGGUGCAAACGUUAUCCGGAUUCACUGGGUUUAAAGGGAGCGCAGGCGGAUUGGUAAGUCAGUGGUGAAAGGCUUGAGCUUAACUCGGGAACUGCCAUUGAUACUAUCAGUCUUGAAUAUUGUUGAGGUUUGCGGAAUGGGUCAUGUAGCGGUGAAAUGCAUAGAUAUGACCCGGAACACCUAUUGCGAAGGCAGCAGGCUAAACAAAGAUUGACGCUGAGGCUCGAAAGCGUGGGGAUCAAACAGG
rnacentral:rRNA from 1 species